UAGAGCUUCCCAUGGCGCCUGUUUAUCAAAAACAUGGUUUUUUGUGAAGGAUGAAAAAUCUGACCUGCUCCCUGCUUAAGUAAAGAGCCGCAGUAUUUUGACUGUGCUAAGGUAGCAUAAUCAUUUGUCUUUUAAAUAAGGUCUGGUAUGAAAGGUUGGUCGGGGAAAUACUGUCUCUUUAUUAUGGGUUGAAUUUAAUUAUUUAGUAAUAAGGCUAGUAUUAAGCUGAAAGACAAUAAGACCCUAUUGAAUUUAAUUUAAAAAUUUUGCUGGGGCGGCAGGAUAAGAGUAAAAUCUUAUUUUAGAGAUUUGUAUUUUGUUGACCCAGUAAUAUUGAGGUGAAGAUAAAAUUACUAUAGGGAUAACAGCUUAAUUUUCUUUUGAAGUACAUAUUUAGGAGAGAGUUUGAGACCUCGAUGUUGAAUUAAAGGUUCUGAUAAAUGUAGAAGUUUAUUGAGAAAGUCUGUUCGACUUUUAAACCUUUACGUGAUCUGAGUUCAGACCGGCCAUGGGAAG
rnacentral:rRNA from 1 species